GAGGGGCCCCUCUCGGGUUACCGAAUUCAGACAAACUCCGAAUGCCAAUUAAUUUAACUUGGGAGUCAGAACAUGGGUGAUAAGGUCCGUGUUCGAAAGGGAAACAGCCCAGACCACCAGCUAAGGUCCCAAAAUAUAUGUUAAGUGGAAAAGGAUGUGGCGUUGCCCAGACAACUAGGAUGUUGGCUUAGAAGCAGCCAUCAUUUAAAGAGUGCGUAAUAGCUCACUAGUCGAGUGACACUGCGCCGAAAAUGUACCGGGGCUAAACAUAUUACCGAAGCUGUGGAUUGUCCUUUGGACAAUGGUAGGAGAGCGUUCUAAGGGCGUUGAAGCAUGAUCGCAAGGACAUGUGGAGCGCUUAGAAGUGAGAAUGCCGGUGUGAGUAGCGAAAGACGGGUGAGAAUCCCGUCCACCGAUUGACUAAGGUUUCCAGAGGAAGGCUCGUCCGCUCUGGGUUAGUCGGGUCCUAAGCUGAGGCCGACAGGCGUAGGCGAUGGAUAACAGGUUGAUAUUCCUGUACCACCUAUAAUCGUUUUAAUCGAUGGGGGGACGCAGUAGGAUAGGCGAAGCGUGCGAUUGGAUUGCACGUCUAAGCAGUAAGGCUGAGUAUUAGGCAAAUCCGGUACUCGUUAAGGCUGAGCUGUGAUGGGGAGAAGACAUUGUGUCUUCGAGUCGUUGAUUUCACACUGCCGAGAAAAGCCUCUAGAUAGAAAAUAGGUGCCCGUACCGCAAACCGACACAGGUAGUCAAGAUGAGAAUUCUAAGGUGAGCGAGCGAACUCUCGUUAAGGAACUCGGCAAAAUGACCCCGUAACUUCGGGAGAAGGGGUGCUCUUUAGGGUUAACGCCCAGAAGAGCCGCAGUGAAUAGGCCCAAGCGACUGUUUAUCAAAAACACAGGUCUCUGCUAAACCGUAAGGUGAUGUAUAGGGGCUGACGCCUGCCCGGUGCUGGAAGGUUAAGAGGAGUGGUUAGCUUCUGCGAAGCUACGAAUCGAAGCCCCAGUAAACGGCGGCCGUAACUAUAACGGUCCUAAGGUAGCGAAAUUCCUUGUCGGGUAAGUUCCGACCCGCACGAAAGGCGUAACGAUUUGGGCACUGUCUCAACGAGAGACUCGGUGAAAUCAUAGUACCUGUGAAGAUGCAGGUUACCCGCGACAGGACGGAAAGACCCCGUGGAGCUUUACUGUAGCCUGAUAUUGAAAUUCGGCACAGCUUGUACAGGAUAGGUA
rnacentral:rRNA from 1 species